UACGUAGGGUGCGAGCGUUGCCCGGAAUUAUUGGGCGUAAAGAGCUUGUAGGCGGUUUGUCGCGUCUGCUGUGAAAACCUAAGGCUCAACCUUGGGCUUGCAGUGGGUACGGGCAGACUAGAGUGCGGUAGGGGUGACUGGAAUUCCUGGUGUAGCGGUGGAAUGCGCAGAUAUCAGGAGGAACACCGAUGGCGAAGGCAGGUCACUGGGCCGCAACUGACGCUGAGGAGCGAAAGCAUGGGGAGCGAACAGG
rnacentral:rRNA from 1 species